rnacentral:rRNA from 1 species
UCCACGCCGUAAACGAUGUCGACUUGGAGGUUGUGCCCUUGAGGCGUGGCUUCCGGAGCUAGCGCGUUAAGUCGACCGCCUGGGGAGUACGGCCGCAAGGUUAAAACUCAAAUGAAUUGACGGGGGCCCGCACAAGCGGUGGAGCAUGUGGUUUAAUUCGAUGCAACGCGAAGAACCUUACCUGGUCUUGACAUCCACGGAAGUUUUCAGAGAUGAGAAUGUGCCUUCGGGAACCGUGAGACAGGUGCUGCAUGGCUGUCGUCAGCUCGUGUUGUGAAAUGUUGGGUUAAGUCCCGCAACGAGCGCAACCCUUAUCCUUUGUUGCCAGCGGUCCGGCCGGGAACUCAAAGGAGACUGCCAGUGAUAAACUGGAGGAAGGUGGGGAUGACGUCAAGUCAUCAUGGCCCUUACGACCAGGGCUACACACGUGCUACAAUGGCGCAUACAAAGAGAAGCGACCUCGCGAGAGCAAGCGGACCUCAUAAAGUGCGUCGUAGUCCGGAUUGGAGUCUGCAACUCGACUCCAUGAAGUCGGAAUCGCUAGUAAUCGUGGAUCAGAAUGCCACGGUGAAUACGUUCCCGGGCCUUGUACACACCGCCCGUCACACCAUGGGAGUGGGUUGCAAAAGAAGUAGGUAGCUUAACCUUCGGGAGGGCGCUUACCACUUUGUGAUUCAUGACUGGG